GAUGAACGCUGGCGGCGUGCCUAAUACAUGCAAGUCGAGCGAACAGACGAGGAGCUUGCUCCUCUGACGUUAGCGGCGGACGGGUGAGUAAAACGUGGAUAACCUACCUAUAAGACUGGGAUAACUUCGGGAAACCGGAGCUAAUACCGGAUAACAUGUUGAACCGCAUGGUUCAACAGUGAAAGACGGUCUUGCUGUCACUUAUAGAUGGAUCCGCGCCGCAUUAGCUAGUUGGUAAGGUAACGGCUUACCAAGGCAACGAUGCGUAGCCGACCUGAGAGGGUGAUCGGCCACACUGGAACUGGGACACGGUCCAGACUCCUACGGGAGGCAGCGGUAGGGAAUCUUCCGCAAUGGGCGAAAGCCUGACGGAGCAACGCCGCGUGAGUGAAGAAGGUCUUCGGAUCGUAAGACUCUGUUAUUAGGGAAGAACAAAUGUGUAAGUAACUAUGCGCGUCUUGACGGUACCUAAUCAGAAAGCCACGGCUAACUACGUG
rnacentral:rRNA from 1 species